rnacentral:tRNA from 1 species
GGUUCCAUAGUGUAGCGGUUAGCACGUCUGCUUUACACGCAGAAGGUCCUGGGUUUGCGCUCCAGUGUAUUCA